AAACAACUCUUUAAACAACUUUUCAACAACGGUAUCUCUAGGCUCCUGCAUCGAUGAAGAACGCAGCGAAAUGCGAUAAGUAAUGUGAAUUGCAGAAUUCAGUGAAUCAUCGA
rnacentral:rRNA from 1 species